GACGAACGCUGGCGGCGUGCUUAACACAUGCCAGUCGAACGGAAAGGCCCUGCUUUUGUGGGGUGCUCGAGUGGCGAACGGGUGAGUAACACGUGAGUAACCUGCCCUUGACUUUGGGAUAACUUCAGGAAACUGGGGCUAAUACCGGAUAGGAGCUCCUGCUCCAUGGUGGGGGUUGGAAAGUUUCGGCGGUUGGGGAUGGACUCGCGGCUUAUCAGCUUGUUGGUGGGGUAGUGGCUUACCAAGGCUUUGACGGGUAGCCGGCCUGAGAGGGUGACCGGCCACAUUGGGACUGAGAUAAGGCCCAGACUCCUACGGGAGGCAGCAGUGGGGAAUAUUGCACAAUGGGCGGAAGCCUGAUGCAGCAACGCCGCGUGCGGGAUGACGGCCUUCGGGUUGUAAACCGCUUUCGCCUGUGACGAAGCGUGAGUGACGGUAAUGGGUAAAGAAGCACCGGCUAACUACGUG
rnacentral:rRNA from 1 species